rnacentral:rRNA from 1 species
AUUGAACGCUGGCGGAAUGCUUUACACAUGCAAGUCGAACGGCAGCACGGACUUCGGUCUGGUGGCGAGUGGCGAACGGGUGAGUAAUGUAUCGGAACGUGCCCAGUCGUGGGGGAUAACGUAGUGAAAAUUACGCUAAUACCGCAUACGAUCUAUGGAUGAAAGCGGGGGAUCGCAAGACCUCGCGCGAUUGGAGCGGCCGAUAUCAGAUUAGGUGGUUGGUGGGGUAAAGGCCCACCAAGCCAACGAUCUGUAGCUGGUCUGAGAGGACGACCAGCCACACUGGAACUGAGACACGGUCCAGACUCCUACUGGAGGCAGCAGUGGGGAAUUUUGGACAAUGGGCGAAAGCCUGAUCCAGCCAUUCCGCGUGCAGGAUGAAGGCCCUCGGGUUGUAAACUGCUUUUGUACAGAACGAAAAGGUUUCUACUAAUACUAGGAGCUCAUGACGGUACUGUAAGAAUAAGCACCGGCUAACUACGUGCCAGCCGCCGCGUAA